GCUUUCCCUCCAGAGUGGAUCCUGAGUACGGCGGAACACGUGAAAUUCCGUCGGAAUCCGGGAGGACCAUCUCCCAAGGCUAAAUACUCCCUAGUGACCGAUAGUGAACCAGUACCGGGAGGGAAAGGGGAAAAGCACCCCGGAAGGGGAGUGAAACAGUUCCUGGAACCGUGUGCCUACAAGUAGUUAGAGCCCGUUAAUGGGUGAUAGCGUGCCUUUUGUAGAAUGAACUGGCGAGAUACGAU
rnacentral:rRNA from 1 species